UUUUUUUUUUUUUUUUGACAGGCAGAGUAGACAGUAAGAGAGACAGAGAGAAAGGUCUUCCUUUGCCGGUGGUUCACCCUCCAAUGGCCGCUGCGGCCGGUGCGGUGAUCCGAUGGCAGGAGCCAGGUACUUAUCCUGGUCUCCCAUGGGGUGCAGGGCCCAAGGACUUGGGCCAUCCUCCACUGCACUCCCUGGCCACAGCAGAGAGCUGGCCUGAAAGAAGGGCAACCGGGACAGAAUCCGGUGCCCUGACCGGGACUAGAACCCGGUGUGCUGGCGCUGCAAGGCGGAGGAUUAGCCUAGUGAGCCACAGCGCCGGCCUGAGGCUGAUUCUAAAGAAAUCCCUGACUCGACAAGGUAAGACAUGGAAGGGAACAGCCAUUUUCUAACUCUCCCCCCGCCUUGGUCUUGAGUGGAAUAGUCUAUCCUGUGCAUCUAAGGACAGGAAGAAGGUUUUGUUGAUCACUUUACAAGGGGGUUGUAAUUACUGUGUUUUUGUUAAACUUUUUUAACUUCCUGGUGAGGGAAUUUAAGAGGACAAAAUAAUUUUAGAACUAAUAUGUAUAAAAAGAGAAAGUGAUUGUCAAGCAGCAUUCAUCCAACUGUAUUAUUUUUAAAAGAUUUAUUUAUUUAUUUAUUUGAGAGUCAGAGUUACAGAGAGAGAAGGAGAGGCAGGGAGAGGGAGAGAGGUCUUCCAUCCGCUGGCUCAUUCCCCAAUUGGCUGCAACGGCCAGAGCUUGGCCGAAGCCAGGAGCCAGGAGCUUCCUCCAGGUCUUCCCAAAUGGGUGCAGAGGCCCAAGGACUUAGGCCAUCCUCUACUGCUUUCCCAGGCCAUAGCAGAGAGCUGGAUUGGAAGUGGAGCAGCUGGGACUUGAACUGGCACCCACAUGGGAUGCCAACACUACAGGCGGUGGCUUUACCUUGUAUGCCACAGCGCUGGCCCCUAUCCAACUUUAAUGUGCAUACAAAUCUCUGAAAUCUUGAUAAAACACAGGUUUUUAAUUUUUUUUUUUUAAUUUGCCUGUGUUGUGGAGCAGCAGGUUAAACGGCUGCUUGAGAUAUCAGCAUCUGCUAUCAGUCCCGGCUGUUCUGCUUCUGAUUCAACUCCUUGCUAAUGUGCCUGGGAAGGCAGCAGAUGCUCUCAAGUGCUGGGCCUCUGCCACCCAUGUGGGAGAUCAUGAUGGAGUUCCUGGCUCCCGGCUUUGGCCUAGCUCAGCACUGGCUGUUGCAGCUAUUUGGCAAAUGAACCAACAGGUGGAAGAUCUCUCUUCCUCUCUGUCAGUUUGUCUUUCAAGUCAAUUAAUAAAUAAAUCUUUAAACUUUGAGAGGGAAUGAGAAGGGUUGAGAGAGAUGUGAAAAACCAAACACUCCAAUCCACUGGUUCACUCAUCCAGUGCCUCCAACAGCUGCUUCUGGGCCUGGGCCUGGGCCUGGGCCAGAGCCAGGAGCCAGAAACACAACCCAGGUUUCCCAGCUGAGUGACAGGAACCCACCUACUUGAGCCAUCUUUUGGCAGGAAGCGGGUGUCAGAGCUGGAGCCAGAAUUAAACCCAGCUACUCUAAGUUGAGAUUUGAGUUUUGUAACAAUGAGGAUAAAAGCCUGCUGUAAAAUGCAGAUUUAAUGGGACUGAGGUGGGGACAGAUAUCCUGCACUCAUGCCCAUAUCCCAGGUGAUGCCUGUGCUGGUAGUAUGGAAACUAUACUUUAAGCAGCAAGUUACUGAAGGAUAAUGGGUAAGCAAAGAGAUAGGGGGUUAUGAAGUUUGGAUUUAUAACACUCCUUUCAGUUCUGAAGUAUGGUCCUUCAGGUUAAACAAAACACAAUCUUUGUUUCAGUUCGACUGCCAAAACAUUUCACAAAAAUUGCAUAUGUUUCACAGCUUUUGAGGGAGGUGAUUGAUGUAAUCACUGUGUCACUACUAAACAUUAAGACAUACCUUCAGUUUGCACCCUGGUGCCAUGUGCUAUCUUAAAAUGCUAGUCCCUACAAGUUCCAGUCAGUUGCAGCUCUAUUUUUUUUUUUCAUGUACUUCCUUGACAUUUGAAAUGUGCAUAAUAAUUACAGGAAUGAGAGUUCCAAGUGUUACUUUUCACAGAGCUUCUGGUAAAGGAUAGUACAAGAGGACUUCAAAACGUUGUGGAAAAUGUAAUUACAUUAUUUUGGUGUCCCAAAUUUUGAAUUUUUCUUUCAUUCCUCCACUCUUUCUUUCCUUCCUUCCCUUUUCUUCUUCCUUCUUCUUCUCUCCUCCUUUCCUUCUCUCUCUCCCCCUCCUUCCCUGCCUCCCUUCAUUUAUUUAGAAAGCAGACAGAGUCACAGACCAUUCUUCCUCUGCUGGUUUACUCCUCAGACGCCCGCAACAGCCAGGUCAGAUGAUUCCCUUCAGCCGAAUUCUCUUUGUUCUCUGAAGGAGUUUGACGAAUCCAGUUUUCUCAUAACUCAAGUCGCGCCCUUCCAACAACUGAUUGAGUGUCUGAAUUCCAGCAUUUUGCUCUGCCUUCCUUCUGUAUUGUGCAGUACAGUCUAAGCUCUUGGAGAGCUCAUCUUGUGGUAAAGCCAUCAGCUCACAGGAAUUCAAGUGUCUGAUCAUGUUUGGAUGAAAGUGCCCAAACUAAGGAACACGAGGGCAAAGCAAGUGGAAAUGCUCCGGGGCUGUGUCUUCUGUCUGGCUUAUUCUUCCUCCUUACCCAUCUGGCAAACUCCUGCUCAUCCUGCAAGGCCCAGAUAAAGUAGUUCCUGAACUUCAUAGGCUUCCUCAUCUCACCAUGGCAGAGUUAAAGGCUCCCACAUUUGCUUUUUGUCAGCAUAACAUCAGGUGCUCAGAAACCAGUUGCAACAGAACCGUGCGCUUUCAGCCUUUUGUUCAUAGUAAGCCUCAGUCAGAGAAAACUGCCUCGAUCAACAACAGUGCAGGGCUUUGCAUCCGUCUUGCUAAAGCAGAGCAUUUGGUGAGGAAAUGGGAUGUGAUUACGACUGAGAGGGCUGUGCCCCUGAAGGCUUAUUUUCCUGUGCAUAAUAUUCCAACUCUGUGCAGAAGCUUGAGACAAGAAGGAAGAGAAAAAAGGAAGCGAGGAAGGAAGAUUGGUGAGGAGCAGAAAAGGCAAACUAUUCAAGCCUGCAAUCUGAGCGCAGUUCAAGCUAGAUGCCCCUACUCUUAGAGCUCAAUACCAGAAUGUUGCAGACCACGCUCAUAAUUUAGUUUAUGGCUGAUCUUUAUAGUAAUAAAAAAAAAUCUAGAAAGAAGCUGCCUGGCACCAUUUGCUGAAGACGUUUUUUAAUACUGUCAAAUGAUUCAUAAUUAUAAAGGGUGGGUGUACCGUGUUCGCUCUGUAGUGGUUAUGUGGAGACUCAUUAAGCACUGUGUGCAUCCAAGAGUCCUGUUUUAUGUAAACAAGACCUCUGAGGAAGAUAUAGAUGGGUAAUAAAGAUGAAAGGAAAUGAAGCAUAUUAACGUGAGGACAAAUUAAUAACGGCCUUUCCAUCCUCUAACAGGAAAAAUCAGUUGCUUUGGAAUAAUUGCUCUUUUCAGUGCAGAAGGGGAACAAAAACCCAGACAAAGCAAUCAACAGAGGAUGCAAUCCGACGGGGAUCCUGGUCACACUACUCUAUGAAGACAGUCUGCACCUUCAGAAACGUACCUGCUUGCCCUGCCAGGCCUCCGAGGGCAGCUGCAAAGAGUUCUUACCUGGCCCCAGAUGAAAUCACCUUCAAGGCUUUUUUAUGGUCACUGGGGCUCUCAUGGUCACCGGGGCAUGAAGAGGCUAUGCAAAUGGAUGGGCGAGCAAGUAAGAGGAAAGUAGAAGCAUCCAAAGGCUGAGAUGGCAGGGAAUUGAGAAAGGAAGGAAGAUAACAUCUGUAAAACACCAUUUCAUUUCUCUUCUCGCAAAAUAGUGGGAGCCUGUGUGGUGUUGAGAUUGGAUUGAAAUGAAUGUAGUGUUAGCGAAACAAGGCUGAACUAACACUGGUGGAGCUGUUUUCAUAUCAGCAAUUUACUGUCUGAAUUCCCAGACAAGUAAGUCAGCUAAACUGAGUUUAUAACUGACCAGGGUCUGUGCAAGUCGCCUCAUUACACCGUAAGCAACCUGUGGGAUCACCCAGGCUUUUACCUGGCUGAAGCCUACUUGUCCAUAGUUGACAAGAAGACAGCUCCAAAGGGCCUGUUCCCUGUCACUGAAUUCCAGGUGUUCCCACAGAUGGCCUCUUCCCCGAAUCUUCAGGCCUUUCUCUAGCCCUGGCAUCCAGCUGUCUUGCUGCCUGCUAGUUUCAUCAAACCUCUUUGGUUUGUUUCUGCUGGUGAAUUGCCCUGAGCAAGGCAGGGACUAUGCGGAGAUAAACCUGCCAGCAGGGGUGCACAAUUUAAGGAAACACUUUGUCUCAGGAGCUUACUCCGCACUGACACAGACUUGAUAGUAAGUGCCUCCUUAAAGUUUGCCCCAUGGGUUCAUUGCUACUGCUCUAGUCCCCAUUCUGGGUGGGACACGCAGUGGGAGCUGGAGGGAGAUCUGUGCCUUGGGUCAGUUCAAGGGACCUCAAGGCCAGCUCCCUCUUACUCAGCCUUUUCUCUUUGCCUAAACUUCUCUUUCUAUAUAGUAAAGAAUUGUAUGGGGCCGGCGCCGUGGCUCAAUAGGCUAAUCCUCCGUCUGCAGCACCAGCACACUGGGUUCUAGUCCCGGUUGCCCCUCUUCCAGGCCAGCUCUCUGCUGUGGCCAGGGAGUGCAGUGGAGGAUGGCCCAAGUACUUGGGCCCUGCACCCCAUGGGAGACCAGGAGAAGCACCUGGCUCCUGCCAUCGGAUCAGCGCAGUGCACCAGCCGCAGCGGC